AAAGGCGAAACGAGGAGCUGAUGGCUUCGGAAGAGAUCUUUCCAGAAGAAAAUAGAUUUCCUUUUCGGGGUUCAGACAGAGGGAGUUCUAAUCCCAGCUUCUCCCCUCACCAGCUGGGUGAUGCUGGGAAAGGAACUUACCUUCCCCAAACCUUCAUGUCCUCCUCUGGGCUCCUGCUGAGCGAGGCUGAGACCACAAACAUCUGCCCACACCUCCCUCUCCCUGGCGCUCACCACACAGGUGGAGACCAGGCCAACGUUCACCUGGCUCAGUUCAGACUCACCCUCAGAGCAUUUGCAGGGCCUGGGCAGAGGGGCCGGGGUAGUGGGGGACUCUGGCUGUCAACUGGCUGCUCCCUCUAAUCUCUGACUCCCGAGGCAGAAGGAGACUUGAGAGGUCUCUACUGACCUUCCUAAGCCUUGAGAUUCCCCUAAGAGAUGCCAAGAUGUCUAAAUGGAACAGCCCUCGGGAGGCCUCCUGAAGUCUCAGGGGGAUGCCUUUUGGAGAAGAGGAUGGAGAGCCCAGUGGUUUUAAUCAGGGAGACUGAGCAUCGCACGCUUGGUCAACACUCACCUGUCGGCGAAGCCGUCAGCCGCUUGGCUCCCAGAGACAUCCAUGCUGUUCCAGGGCAUGACUCUGUGGCUCCCACCCCCGCUGCAGGCCUGUGGGGGUGGGAAACACUUGAAAUCCUGAGUCAGAGGAAAGGUUCCACUGCACUUUCCCUGGAACAGAAAGUCAAGGAUUCAGCAGUCUGCAUGGAGAGAAGGGAGAACUGGAAAGUGAGAAAGAACAGUGCUCGCUUCCUUCCCUUCCAUCUCUUUUAUUUUUAAAACAUUUUAUUCAUGUAUUUUUUUAUUCUGCCAUAUGUGAUGCAUGUUCAUUGCAGAAAAUACAUGCAAUGGAAAUAAGACUCAUUACUGAGAGUGUUUCUUUUUUCUGUCCUCUUACCCAUCCACAAGAGGUUUUUAGCUCACAAGCCAUGCCAGUUCCCCAGCUUGGACAGUUUGGUCUUUGCCAGAUCCAGUCCUGGAACUUUUGUAAUGUGGAAUUAGAAUGAGGGGUGUGGGGCUGCUAGUUGGAGAGAGAACACGAGAUACAGAGCCUGAGAGGCAGGGAGAAGGAAGGCCCAGUGCAGAAAGGCUAAUUGCUCUGUGUAAUAAAGAACUAGGAAGGAGAAGGGAGAAGGGAAAGACAGGGGUUGGAAAGGAAAAGUAGGAGGAAUGUUUUAUAAAGUACAGUAUUGACAUGGGGCAUUAAGUAGAUACCCUGUAAUUCCCCAAGUAGAGAUUGGAAUAAUUUUUUGUUUUUUGGCUCCAGGAUCGUAAUUCUUUAUUUGCAACUGCAUGGAGAGCCUUGACCAUAUAGAUACCCAGAAUUUAUUAGGCUUCCAUACAGGAAAGUACAAAAAUAUUAUUUGAGAAAUGAAAGAAGAGAGUCAAGUAUUUAUCAUGCUUUUUUUCCUACAAUUAUGAUUUAAUCUUGAAAAAUUCUGGCUAAUAAAUGUAAAUGGAAGGAUAGAAUUAUAAAAUCAUCAUUUUGCAACCUCUAAUGAGAUAAUGGAUUUAGGCAAGAAUCAUCAAUCAUCGAGGAUUCCUAUAGCCAUUGGAUGAAAGAUAAAGAGGAACUUUGUAAUGCCAAUGAUACUUGAACCUGUCAAUCAAUCUUGUUUGUCUUGUUUUUUAAUAGACAAGAUCUUGCUAUGUUGCCCAGAGUGGAGAGUGCAGUGGCUAGUCACAAGUGUAAUCAUAGUGUGCUGCAGCCUCCAGCUCCUGGGCUCAAAGGAUCCUCCUGCCUCA